CAACGAUAGAGCGACUAGCAGGUCAAAAAUUAAAGCGAAUAUCCGGCUGUGACCCAGCCGGGUAUUCGGUUGACAAUGACGCUGACUUCGCCCGUUUAAACAGUAGCAAUGCCGCACUUGUGGAUAUCUACUACACCAAUCGCGAAAGGAUGGGGACCAGGCAUACUUCCUAGGAACAGUUAACGUUCUUAUUAAUGGGGGCCAGCGUCAACCCGGAUGUGAGGCAAUGGACCUUUAUUGUGAUGCAACCGUUGACAAACUUUUGGCUUGUUUCUGCUCUCAUUCUUAUAGCACGAAGUUUUUUAUAGCUUCGAUGGAGUCGAAUUAUUUUGUAGCUUGCCGUUGUGACGGAGAUUCCUGCUAUUGUACACAAGACUGCCUUACCUGCCUGGACGGGAUACGUGUGGGAUUUCAGAUGGCAUUAUUAGACGAUGAAGACUACGGGACGUACCAUGUCGUCGCUGGAGAACUCUAAAGAUUCUCAUCAUCGAACUUCCUCUCUUGUACUGCACCCAACUAAUAGUUCGUAUAUUUAUUAAUGGUUUUCUUGGGUAAUAAAACACGUCGUGACAUUUGCUAA